rnacentral:rRNA from 1 species
UAGGGAAUCUUCCGCAAUGGACGCAAGUCUGACGGAGCAACGCCGCGUGAGUGAAGAAGGAUUUCGGUUCGUAAAACUCUGUUGUUAGAGAAGAACAGCGCAUAGAGUAACUGUUAUGCGUGUGACGGUAUCUAACCAGAAAGCCACGGCUAACUACGUGCCAGCAGCCGCGGUAAUACGUAGGUGGCAAGCGUUGUCCGGAUUUAUUGGGCGUAAAGCGAGCGCAGGCGGUCAAUUAAGUCUGAUGUGAAAGCCCCCGGCUCAACCGGGGAGGAUCAUUGGAAACUGGUUGACUUGAGUGCAGAAGAGGAGAGUGGAAUUCCAUGUGUAGCGGUGAAAUGCGUAGAUAUAUGGAGGAACACCAGUGGCGAAGGCGACUCUCUGGUCUGUAACUGACGCUGAGGCUCGAAAGCGUGGGUAGCAAACAGG